AGAGGAGGAGGAGCAAACAGGGGGAGGGAAGUUGAAAGUGAAAGUAUGAAGUCAGACUUGUCAGAGUGCCAGACACCAUUUUACAGCUGGACGGAGCAGGAGGACAACAGGUGUUACUGGUUUGUCUCUCAGACUGGAGAAGAUGAGUGGUUUAAAAGAGGAGGAAGAGGACACAUCUUCAGUCUCCAGCUGUCUGUCUCUGAAGAGUGACUGGUCUAAAGAUGUACCUCUAACCUUCAGUAAUGAACCUGGACCCUCAGACA